rnacentral:misc_RNA from 1 species
AUCCAUGCUCAGGGCUGGGCGACCAUGG